UACGGGGGGGGCAAGCGUUGUUCGGAAUUACUGGGCGUAAAGGGCUCGUAGGCGGCCAACUAAGUCACACGUGAAAUCCCUCGGCUUAACCGGGGAACUGCGUGUGAUACUGGAUGGCUUGAGUUCGGGAGAGGGAUGCGGAAUUCCAGGUGUAGCGGUGAAAUGCGUAGAUAUCUGGAGGAACACCGGUGGCGAAGGCGGCAUCCUGGACCGACACUGACGCUGAGGAGCGAAAGCCAGGGGAGCAAACGGG
rnacentral:rRNA from 1 species